rnacentral:misc_RNA from 1 species
GCACCCAUAAAGGAUCCGUCGUGGCGCCAGACUAGCGUCAAGCCCCCCGCCUAGUCAUGAGUCCCUAUCGUUGAGACGGAUCCGCCGGUUGGUGAUCGUGUUCCAAAUUUUUGGGGCACAUGACGGUAAAGAUCAGUAGCAAAUGUCGGUUAACUAGUGAGAAUACAAUGAAUGGAUUGUGGCCUAUAAAGAUCAGUAGCAAAUUGUCAGUCCCCCCACCUAGUCACGUGUCCCAAAGCUUGGGGCACACGGUAUGGUUGAGACGGAUCCAUCGGUGGGUGAUCGUGUUCCAAAUUUUUGGGGCACAUGUCGGUAUAGAUCAGUUGGAGAUGAAUUCUUGGUCGGUGAUCGGUUGCCUAGUGAGAAUAUAUUGAAUGGAAUGUGGCCUAUAAAGAUCAGUUGCAUAUUGUGAUUUGUUGUCUAGCGUCCCUAUGGUUGCUUCACAUGUCCCGAUGCUUGUCUAUAACAAAGCUAGGCUUCAAGACGGUUGGUUAGUGAUUGGUUACCUAGUGAUAAUAUACUGAAUGGAUUGUUGAGGGUUGGAAACAUGGACGUACAAACACCAAUCGGCCUUUGUCCCGAUUGCUGAGUGUUAUGUGCUUGAUGUUGAAGAUUCUUGGCGUCUUUGAUGUAUGUUACAUAGAUAAUCAGUUGCUUCGCGGCAUAAUAGAGCUAAUCAGUUGGCUUGCAACAUAGUAAUUUUGUCUUAGAUUUUCAUUGAGGCAUGGUGAUCAUAGGGACGGGAAGGUGGCUUUCGAGAAUUUUCGCAUCGUUCGGUUCAUUUUGGGGGCUAUUUUGGCUUUUGGUUGCCUACAUGGUGAUUGUGCUAUGUUGGUGGCUAAUUGUUGGAUGGUCUCCGAGUAUGUAGGCCGUAAAGGUGCAUGAGUGGUGUUUGGUUUGUUAUGGGUGGUUGGCUCUUUGCUUGUGCAACAACUUCCACCUGUCUUACCUUUUCAGAAUAUGUUUGGCCUUGGUUAGUCUAAGCAGUUAUUGGGUUUUCUGUGCUCACUUCCUAUGUUAUGGCAUUCUCCUGAUUGAUUGGUCUUACUUUUUGACGUGUGUCAUUGUCAUGAUACAUGAGAACUUUGAAGUAGUCAUUUGUACCACAAUCUUAAUGCAUGCGUUAAUCUUGUGGCUCAGUGGGUGUUGCUUGGUAUCUUGAAUAUAGAAUAUGAUGUGGGCAAAAGGGGUUUCUUGUAUCCUUGAUUUGUCCUUAUUCAGCGUUCAGACUUUAAGAAAAUGACUGUUUAUCCCGCCUUGUGCUUGUGCUAAAGCGGGGGAGAUGUGUCAAAGAAGAAUGCUAC